rnacentral:misc_RNA from 1 species
AACGCAUCUUGCGCUCCUUGGUAUUCCGAGGAGCAUGCCUGUUUGAGUGUCAUGAAUAUCUCAACCCACAAGGUCUUUGUGAUCUAUGUUGGGCUUGGACUUGGGAAUUGUAGACAUUUAAUGUCUGCUCUCCUUAAAUGCAUUAGCUGGAUUAACUCGCUCGUGCUAUCCGGUGUGAUAAUAUCUACAUCGCAUGGUUACGUCGAAGUGUUACCCUGUUAACUCAGAGUGUAGCCUUUGAUAGAGUAUCUGCUUCUAAUCGUCUCAGGUAUUUAUCGCGACACCUUCACUGGAAGGCCGAUGAAUGGAGACAACAAUUAUGACAUCUGACCUCAAAUCAGGUAGGACUACCCGCUGAACUUAA